GGGCGUAGGAAAUUUGAGAGGAGCUGUCCUUAGUACGAGAGGACCGGGAUGGACACACCGCUGGUGUACCAGUUGUUCUGCCAAGAGCAUCGCUGGGUAGCUAUGUGUGGACGGGAUAAGUGCUGAAAGCAUCUAAGCACGAAGCCCCCCUCAAGAUGAGAUUUCCCAUUACGCAAGUAAGUAAGAUCCCUCAAAGACGAUGAGGUAGAUAGGUUCGGGGUGGAAGCGUGGCGACACGUGCAGCUGACGAAUACUAAUCGAUCGAGGACUUAACCAA
rnacentral:rRNA from 1 species